UGAAAUGUAUCCUGAUACAGAAUCACAGAAUGUCAGGGAUUGGAAAGGACCUUGAAAGAUCACCUAGUCCAGUCCCCCUGCUGGAGCAGGAACACCUAGAUCAGGUCACAGAGGAAUGCAUCCAGGUGGAUUAUGAAUGUCUCCAGAGAAGGAGACCCACAACCUCUCUGGGCAGCCUGUUCCAGUGUUAUGUUACCCUCACAGUGAAGAAGUUUUUUCUAGUAUUUAUGUGGAACCUUCUAUGUUUCAGCUUGCACCCCCCUUGCUCCUUGUCUUGUCAUUGGAUGUCACUGAGAAGAGCCUGGCUCCAUCCUCCUGACACUCACCUUUACAUCUUUAUAAAUAUUAAUGAGGUCACCCCUCAGUCUCCUCUUCUCCAAGGUAGAGAGAUGCAUCUCCCUCAGCCUUUCCUUGUAAGGGAGAUGCUCCACCCCCUUAAUCAUAUUUGUGGCUCUGCUCUUGACUCUCUCAAGGAGUUUCUUGUCUUUCUUGAACUGAGGGGCCCAGAACUGGACACAGUAUUCCAGAUAUGGUCUCAUCCGGGCAGAGCAGACAGAGUGGAGAACUUCUCUUGCCCUAUUAACUACAUCCCCUCUAAUACACUCCAGGAUGCCAUUGGCCUUCUUGGCCACAAGGGCACAGUACUGGCUCUUGAUCAUUUUGCCAUUCACCAGGAUCCCCAGGUUCCUUUCCCUUGUUCUGCUCUCCAAGAGAUCAGUCCCCAGCCUACACUGGUACCUUGCAUCUGGGCAAUAAAACCUCAUAUUCAUAUCAUGUGAAAUUUCCAUUCACAGCUGGCAUCUUAAAAUGCCUGUAUGCUGUUCUAUUCCUAUUAAUUUUAUAAUGAAUACACAUACAUGACUUUGAGUGAGUUACUUCUCUUCACUCUUUCUAAUUCAUUUUUAUGAAAAAAAAAAAAAAAAAAAAAAAAAAAACGUUAUUUUUAAUGGCGUUGGGAUAGAGGAUCCAGAAAAGUAAGUAUUCCUUAAUUAGGUUUUAAAUAAUUAAGAGUACU
rnacentral:lncRNA from 1 species